AAAACAAACAACAAAACAAACAACAAAACAAACAAACAAACAGAAAACAAAUAAACAAAAAAUAAAAACAAGAGUGCACACGCUGAAAUGUCUCGCCUUCUAUACUAAUCAUUGAUAUUAUGUUGAUAGUCCUAAGUAUAAAGCUAAGCUUUAUUACAACUGUCACAUAAACUUAACAUUAACCAAAAUAACUAAACAAAGACCAAUGAACCUUGAAAAUGAGGUCAAGGUCAGAUGAACCAUGUCAGGCAGACAUGUACAGCUAACAAUGCUUCUAUACAACAUAUAUAGUUGACCCAUUACUUAUAGUUUAAGAAAAAUAGUCCAAAACACAAAAACUUAACACUGUGCAAUGAACCCUGAAAAUGAGGUCAAGGUCAAAUAAAACCUGGUUGACUGACAUAAAGAUCAUAAAAUAUUCUAUACACCAAAUAUAGUUGACCUAUGGCAUAUAGUAUUAGAUAAAAAGACCAAAACUCAAAAACUGAACUUUGACCACUGAACCAUGAAAAUGAGGUCAAGGUCACAUGACAUCUGCCCGCUAGACAUGUACACCUUACAAUCAUUCCAUACAACAAAUAUAGUAGACCUAUUGCAUAUAGUAUGAGAAAAACAGACCAAAACACAAAAAUUCAACUAUAACCACUGAACCAUGAAAAUGAGGUCAAGGUCAGAUGACACCUGCCAGUUGGACAUGUACACCUUACAGUCCUUCUAUACACCGAAUAUACUAGCCCUAUUGCUUAUAGUAUCUGAGAUAUGGACUUGACCACCAAAACUUAACCUUGUUCACUGAUCCAUGAAAUGAGGUCGAGGUCAAGUGAAAACUGUCUGACAGACAUAAGGACCUUGCAAGGUACGCACAUAUCAAAUAUAGUUAUCCUAUUGCUUAUAAUAAGAGAGAAUUCAACAUUACAAAAAAAUUGAACUUUUUUUCCAAGUGGUCACUGAACCAUGAAAAUGAGGUCAAGGACAUUGGACAUGUGACUGACGGAAACUUCGUAACAUGAAGCAUCUAUAUACAAAGUAUGAAGCAUCCAGGUCUUCCACCUUCUAAAAUAUAAAGCUUUUAAGAAGUGAGCUAACACCGCCGCCGUAGCCGCCGUAGCCGCCGCCGCCGCCGGAUCACUAUCCCUAUGUCGAGCUUUCUGCAACAAAAGUUGCAGGCUCGACAAAAAAC
rnacentral:lncRNA from 1 species